GAAUCAAAUACAUGUCUCUAAUUCUCAAUAUCUUGAGAAUAUGUAUCGAAAAUUAAUUUCAUGGACGAUUCAAGGAUACAUCACACUUGAAUAAAAAAUAAACUUGUCCUUUUAUUGAUCAUAUCAAUAUAUUAAGUACAAAAUUGUAUCCUAGAUUCAUUACCAUGUGUCAGCCAUAUUGACUUCUAAGACAUAUAUCUAACACCAUUCAAGUGACUUCUUGUAUUGAUCAUGCUUAGUACCUU
rnacentral:lncRNA from 1 species